ACUUUUCCAUUGAAUCAGGGUAGUUUGAUUAAAUCACAUCUGUUUGGGAGGAUUGACAUUUUAUGGUUAUUUUUAAUGUUGAAGUGGCUGAAAUUUUAUCUUCUGUAAUAACAUUGCCAGAAAUAGCAAAUACAUAUCCAAGUUGAGAAGAGGCACAGGAGGGCUGUGUUAAGAAAAAUAUAUUUCUAUUACCUAUGCAAAUCAUAUGGGGGCAGUAUUAUUCCAUGUGGAUCUAAAUUGUCAGUAUUUUUAUUACUAUUUAUGUAGACUUUCCAAUGACACUCAGUGAUCUUAUCUUUGGAUACAUUUGAAUAGAACUUGGAUAUGAAAGUGAGCAUUGUGGGCUUUCUAUUAAAUAUUCAUCAAAACCACAGGAAAUAAAAAGAAAUUCAAGAAAAUAAGAGAAUUGCCGAUUACUACUAUGUUAACUUUAAGGCUACACAAUUACAAUAAAAGGAUUACAAGGGAAACAUAUUGGAAAUGGACAGAAACUAAGUUUCCGUGGAGGAGGCUAAGGCCUAGGUUGUGAUGGAUGAUACAGCAGGAGCUUGUCAUCAGAACUGAGUGCCCCUCUGCAUUUGGGUUAGUGCUGGGGCAUGGAAAGUGCAGAGAGCAAACUUAGGCGCCUCUCUAUGGAUCUGUUACAUCGGCUCUCUUCAGGAAGAGCAUGGUGCUGCAGUGGGGGCAGGAAGGAGACGCCUGCCCCCCGGUGCACAGCAGGACGCCUCCCUUCCCAUCUUCUGAGGAGACUGGCUUUUCCUCUCUCUUAUGCAGCUGUGGCGUUCUUAGUUUUGUGAUAUUUGGAAAAAGCAUCAGUUUAUGCAGACUGCUGAUAGAAACAGUGAAGGGCAAAACUUGGCUGUUUAGAAAUGAAAACCACCACGGACUCUUCAAAAGGCAGAGCAAGUCGUCAGAACCCCAGGUGCAGCCGAGCACACACACGCACUGCAUAUACAGCAGCCCGCCUAUUCAUGUCGCAGAGCACCUCAAAGCUUCCUAA
rnacentral:lncRNA from 1 species